UGGGGAAUAUUGGACAAUGGGCGAAAGCNGAUCCAGCCAUGCCGCGUGUGUGAAGAAGGCCUUUUGGUUGUAAAGCACUUUAAGUGGGGAGGAAAAGCUUAUGGUUAAUACCCAUAAGCCCUGACGUUACCCACAGAAUAAGCACCGGCUAACUCUGUGCCAGCAGCCGCGGUAAUACAGAGGGUGCAAGCGUUAAUCGGAAUUACUGGGCGUAAAGCGCGCGUAGGUGGUUAUUUAAGUCAGAUGUGAAAGCCCCGGGCUUAACCUGGGAACUGCAUCUGAUACUGGAUAACUAGAGUAGGUGAGAGGGGAGUAGAAUUCCAGGUGUAGCGGUGAAAUGCGUAGAGAUCUGGAGGAAUACCGAUGGCGAAGGCAGCUCCCUGGCAUCAUACUGACACUGAGGUGCGAAAGCGUGGGUAGCAAACAGGAUUAGAUACCCUGGUAGUCCACGCCGUAAACGAUGUCUACCAGUCGUUGGGUCUUUUAAAGACUUAGUGACGCAGUUAACGCAAUAAGUAGACCGCCUGGGGAGUACGGCCGCAAGGUUA
rnacentral:rRNA from 1 species